rnacentral:rRNA from 1 species
CAAACGACUCUCGGCAACGGAUAUCUCGGCUCACGCAUCGAUGAAGAACGUAGCAAAAUGCGAUACUUGGUGUGAAUUGCAGAAUCCCGUGAACCAUCGAGUUUUUGAACGCAAGUUGCGCCCAAAGCCUUUUGGCCGAGGGCACGUCUGCCUGGGCGUCACGC